rnacentral:rRNA from 1 species
AUUGAACGCUGGCGGCAGGCCUAAAACAUGCAAGUCGAGCGGAGCGGCGGACGGGUGAGUAAUGCCUAGGAAUCUGCCUGGUCGUGGGGGAUAACGUCCGGAAACGGGCGCUAAUACCGCAUACUAUCAGAUGAGCCUAGGUCGGAUUCGCUAGUGGGUGGGGUAAAGGCCUACCAAGGCGACGAUCCGUAACUGGCCUGAGAGGAUGAUCAGUCACACUGGCACUGAGACACGGACCAGACUCCUACGGGACGCAGCAGUGGGGAAUAUUGGUCAAUGGGCGAAAGCCUGAUCCAGCCAUGCCCCGUGUGUGAAGAAGGUCUUCGGAUUGUAAAGCACUUUAAGUAUGGAGACGUUACCAACAGAAUAGACACCGGCUAACUUCGUGCCAGCCGCCGCGGUAAUAC